rnacentral:rRNA from 1 species
CGUGUAGGUGGCUGACCAAGUCUGGUGUGAAAACGCUACCGCUCAACGGAGCGAUUGCGCUGGAAACUGGUCAACUUGAGUUCGAGAGAGGCAGGCAGAAUACCUGGUGUAGCGGUGGAAUGCUUAGAGAUCAGGUAGAAUACCCGAGGCGAAGGCGGCCUGCUGGCUCGAUACUGGCACUGAGGCGCGAAAGCAUGGGGAUCAAACA